GACAGAGGGUGCAAACGUUGUUCGGAAUUACUGGGCGUAAAGCGCGUGUAGGCUGCUCAGAAAGUCGGAUGUGAAAGCCCUGGGCUUAACCUGGGAACUGCAUCCGAUACUGGAUGGCUUGAAUCCGGGAGAGGGAUGCAGAAUUCCAGGUGUAGCGGUGAAAUGCGUAGAUAUCUGGAGGAAUACCGGUGGCGAAGGCGGCGAUCCUGGACCGGCAUUGACGCUGAUGAGCGAAAGCUAGGGGAGCAAACGGG
rnacentral:rRNA from 1 species